AUGAAUAUUGAGCGAUAUUCGUAUGUCAUACACAUUAGCUCAACGGUUACUGGGGAGCUGCGUGACAAUCUUACAUGUUGGGAUGCCCCGCGGGCUGCAUUGCCUGUUGGAACCGUCAGUUGUGCUCCCAAGGUGAGAGCGAUGGAGCUGACCGACGAGAUGGAGGUGAAGAUGCGCGGACCAUGCAGCGGUGGCUUCGGCCAGAUCCCCUUCGCGCUGCGCACCAUCGUCUUCCCGACAGCAUCCCGGUUCGACACCAUGUACUCGUACGCCUCUGAUAGCAGCAACGCGCCAGGAGUGGGUGGCGCACCUCCAGACCGGCGCCGGGAUCGUUGCCGACAGCAAGCCGGAAGACGAGCAGCAGGAGUGCCAGAACAAGGCCGCUGGCCUCGCUCACGCCAUCGAUCUCGCCGAGUCAACGUUCCUGGAUUUCUCCGAUGU
rnacentral:rRNA from 1 species